GGCAACACCCUAGACAAGAGAAGUCAUCCCAUUAGGCAUGCAUUAGGUAAGGAAAAUAGGAAAUACGAAGUUGUCAAAGCUCAGAACUGCCUUCGAUUAACUGCCCAAAUAGUCGAAUUUCGUGUUGAAAGAAAUGGUGAAAGUGAAACAUCGAGUACUGUGGCGGAUGAGGUUAUGGUCCCCGCUUUGGGCAAUUGGCUGAAACAAUUCAAGCCAAAGUCCCUUCAGCGGAGGUUGAAGGCCAUGUAGGAAGAAGAACUUCGUUUGAAGUCAUGGUGGAUGACCAGUUAAUCCAUUCCAAAU